GAGGGUUUGGCCGAAAGGUGAAGGCGCAAGACUGCAACUCUUGUUUCUGUCAGUUCGAAUCUGGCAACCCUCUCCA
rnacentral:tRNA from 1 species